CAGCAUCUCAUGGUCUCCCAUAAUUUCAUCUAUCAACUCAGCAACAGAUUUAUCAGCACUGUUGGGAACAAGAGCAGCAAAUACAGCUGGCUGUAAUCCUGCUUACAAAUAUAUCGGGGUAUUGUAGGCAAAAAAAUGUUGAAUACCAGUCUCGGGGAAAGCAUCGAUGAACAUCAUCAUCUCCUCACCACUAAGACCAGA